AACGAACGCUGGCGGCAGGCUUAACACAUGCAAGUCGAACGCCCCGCAAGGGGAGUGGCAGACGGGUGAGUAACGCGUGGGAAUCUACCCAGAACUUCGGAACAACUGAGGGAAACUUCAGCUAAUACCGGAUACGCCCUACGGGGGAAAGAUUUAUCGGUUCUGGAUGAGCCCGCGUAAGAUUAGCUAGUUGGUGAGGUAAUGGCUCACCAAGGCGACGAUCUUUAGCUGGUCUGAGAGGAUGAUCAGCCACACUGGGACUGAGACACGGCCCAGACUCCUACGGGAGGCAGCAGUGGGGAAUAUUGGACAAUGGGCGAAAGCCUGAUCCAGCCAUGCCGCGUGAGUGAUGAAGGCCUUAGGGUUGUAAAGCUCUUUCAGUGGGGAAGAUAAUGACGGUACCCACAGAAGAAGCCCCGGCUAACUUCGUGCCAGCCGCCGCGGUAAAAC
rnacentral:rRNA from 1 species